rnacentral:lncRNA from 1 species
AGUACCCUCUGUCAAAGGAAGAUGCUAACCCCAGCAGACAGAGACUAUCUGGCAAUACCCACCCUGGGUCUGCCAGGCCCCAUGGGCUCCUGGGACUGCAGGAUCCCGGGCUUGGGAUUGCGAUGGGCUGGAGGAAGG